UAGACAGAUAGUAAAUCAAUCUUUUGAAGUCUCCACCAUUCACUAGUUCAACAGAUUAAACAUGCAUGAUUCAAGUCACAAUGCCAGAUAACUGUACUUAACCAACAUGUUUUCCUAUUUGCUCUCAGUAUAAUAAGGUCUCAUUGCUAAACAAAAGGAGAUCAGUUCUCGUACUUCGGGUCUUAGCUUCUUCCAGGUAAAACUACUAGCAGAGAUCUAGAGCUGCUUCGUCUCUGCCUUCCUCUCC
rnacentral:lncRNA from 1 species